rnacentral:rRNA from 1 species
GACGAACGCUGGCGGCGUGCUUAACACAUGCAAGUCGAACGGAAAGGCCCUGCUUGCAGGGUGCUCGAGUGGCGAACGGGUGAGUAACACGUGGGUGAUCUGCCCCUUACUUUGGGAUAAGCCUGGGAAACUGGGUCUAAUACUGGAUAGGACCAUGCUGUAGGUGGUGUGGUGGAAAGAUUAGUUUCGGUAAGGGAUGAGCUCGCGGCCUAUCAGCUUGUUGGUGGGGUAAUGGCCUACCAAGGCGUCGACGGGUAGCCGGCCUGAGAGGGUGGACGGCCACAUUGGGACGGAGAUACGGCCCAGACUCCUACGGGAGGCAGCAGGGGGGAAUAUUGCACAAUGGGCGCAAGCCUGAUGCAGCGACGCCGCGUGGGGGAUGACGGCCUUCGGGUUGUAAACUCCUUUCAGCCAUGACGAAGCCUUCGGGUGACGGUAGUGGUAGAAGAAGCACCGGCUAACUACGUG